AACGAACGCUGGCGGCAGGCCUAACACAUGCAAGUCGAGCGCCCUUUCGGGGGAGCGGCGGACGGGUGAGUAACGCGUGGGAAUAUGCCCUUCUCUACGGAAUAGCCUCGGGAAACUGAGAGUAAUACCGUAUACGCCCUGUGGGGGAAAGAUUUAUCGGGGAAGGAUUAGCCCGCGUUGGAUUAGGUAGUUGGUGGGGUAAUGGCCUACCAAGCCGACGAUCCAUAGCUGGUUUGAGAGGAUGAUCAGCCACACUGGGACUGAGACACGGCCCAGACUCCUACGGGAGGCAGCAGUGGGGAAUCUUAGACAAUGGGGGCAACCCUGAUCUAGCCAUGCCGCGUGAGUGAUGAAGGCCUUAGGGUUGUAAAGCUCUUUCAGCUGGGAAGAUAAUGACGAUACCAGCAGAAGAAGCCCCGGCUAACUCCGUG
rnacentral:rRNA from 1 species